ensembl:snRNA U6 U6 spliceosomal RNA
UUGCUUAGUUCACUUCAGCAGCACAUACACUAAAACCGGAAUGAUACAGAGAAGAUUAGCAUGGCCCCGAGCAAGAUGCACACAGAUUCAUGAAGUGAUCAAAUAUAAG